rnacentral:rRNA from 1 species
UCUAAGCACAUGCCUUAAAACGGUGAAGCCGCGAAUAGCUCAUUACAACAGCCAUCGUUUAUUAGAAUAUCGUUAUCCUACUUGGAUAACUGUGGCAAUUCUAGAGCUAAUACAUGCAAUAAAGCUCUGCCCGCAAGGAACGAGCGCAUUUAUUAGAAUAAAAACCAAUCGGGUUUCGGCCCGUAAUUUGGUGAAUCUGAAUAACUUUGCCAAUCGCACAGUCCUAGUACUGGCGAUGUAUCUUUCAAGUGUCUGCCUUAUCAACUUUCGAUGGUACGCUAUACGCCUACCAUGGUAGUAACGGGUAACGGAGAAUAAGGGUUCGACUCCGGAGAGGGAGCCUGAGAAACGGCUACCACAUCCAAGGAAGGCAGCAGGCGCGCAAAUUACCCACUUCCAGAACGGAGAGGUAGUGACGAAAAAUAACGAGACAGUCCUCUUCGAGGUCUGUCAUCGGAAUGGGUA